rnacentral:rRNA from 1 species
AAUCAACGCUGGCGGCGUGCCUCAGACAUGCAAGUCGAACGAUUAAAGCUCCCUUCGGGGAGUGCAUAGAGUGGCGCACGGGUGAGUAACACGUAAGUAAUCUACCUUUGAGUGGGGAAUAACGUUCGGAAACGGACGCUAAUACCGCAUAAUGCAGCGGCAUCGCAAGAUGACAGUUGUUAAAGGAGCAAUCCGCUUAAAGAGGAGCUUGCGGCAGAUUAGCUUGUUGGUAAGGUAACGGCUUACCAAGGCUACGAUCUGUAUCCGGUCUAAGAGGACGGUCGGACACACUGACACUGAAUAACGGGUCAGACUCCUACGGGAGGCAGCAGUCGGGAAUUUUGGGCAAUGGGCGAAAGCCUGACCCAGCAACGCCGCGUGAAGGAUGAAGUAUUUCGGUAUGUAAACUUCGAAAGAAUAGGAAGAAUAAAUGACGGUACUAUUUAUAAGCUCCGGCUAACUACGUGCCAGCCGCCGCUGU